GAUGAACGCUGGCGGCGUGCCUAAUACAUGCAAGUCGAGCGAACAGACGAGGAGCUUGCUCCUCUGACGUUAGCGGCGGACGGGUGAGUAACACGUGGAUAACCUACCUAUAAGACUGGGAUAACUUCGGGAAACCGGAGCUAAUACCGGAUAAUAUAUUGAACCGCAUGGUUCAAUAGUGAAAGACGGUUUUGCUGUCACUUAUAGAUGGAUCCGCGCCGCAUUAGCUAGUUGGUAAGGUAACGGCUUACCAAGGCAACGAUGCGUAGCCGACCUGAGAGGGUGUACGCCACCGCUGGAACUGAGCCACGGUCCAGACCCCGAGGGAGGGCAGCGGUAGGGAAUGUUCCGAAAUGGGCGAAAGCUUGAGGGAGCAGCGCCGGGUGGGUGCAGAAGGUCUUCGGAUCGGAAAACUCUUUUAUGGGGGAAAAAAAAUUGCGUAAGUAACUAUGCGCGUUUUGAGGGAACCUAAUAAGAAACCCCGGCCAACUACGGG
rnacentral:rRNA from 1 species